rnacentral:rRNA from 1 species
GGGGGGGGGGGGGGGGGGGGGGGGAGGGGGGAGGGGGGGGGGCGGGGGGGGGGGUUGGGCCGCUGACGUUAGCGGCGGGCGGGGGAGGAACACGGGGAUAACCUACCUAUAAGACUGGGAUAACUUCGGGAAACCGGAGCUAAUACCGGAUAAUAUAUUGAACCGCCUGGUUCAAUAGUGAAAGACGGUUUUGCUGUCCCUUAUAGCUGGAUCCGCGCCGCAUUAGCUAGUUGGUAAGGUAACGGCUUACCAAGGCGACGAUGCGUAGCCGACCUGAGAGGGUGAUCGGCCACACUGGAACUGAGACACGGUCCAGACUCCUGCGGGAGGCAGCAGUAGGGAAUCUUGCGCAAUGGGCGAAAGCCUGACGGAGCAACGCCGCGUGAGUGAUGAAGGUCUUCGGAUCGUAAAACUCUGUUAUUAGGGAAGAACAAAUGUGUAAGUAACUAUGCACGUCUUGACGGUACCUAAUCAGAAAGCCACGGCUAACUACGUG